GCGUCAGUGGCUGAUAAAAGCAUUAAAUUGUAAAUUUAAAUAUGGCUUACCUGAUUAGGCUUUUAUUUU
rnacentral:tRNA from 1 species